ACGCACGGCAGGGCGGGCGCGGCGACGGUCUCGGCGACGGGCUGGGGAGGACGGCAUGCCGCGAUGGUUCUGUGCCGUGCUGUGCGUG
rnacentral:tRNA from 1 species